GCUAACAUGUUAUAAGUAUUAUGAAACGAAGGUAGUACGAAGUCUACGGAGUAUCUAACAAAAUCCAACAAAAUAUUUUUACAUGUGAUGGCGUAUGAAUAAAUGAAUAAGGAUAUAAGGUGUUAACAAAAAUAUAAUCCGUACUAUGCAAGUAUGCAACUGUUGUUUUUGCCUAUAGUUCGAUCGCGUAUCAGUUUUCAAUUUUUGGUUUUAUAAUUUUAAAAUUUAGCUAGGUGAUAUAAAAUAAAUUAUGAAUUACUCCGUACAAAUUAUUCAUACCUAUAAUAAAAAACAGACAAAAUUACCCAUUUCCAUUUUAAUGCAAAAAAAAAAAAAUGAAAGUCAAAAUGAAAGGAUUCUUGACUAUUGGGUUGUGGAUUCUCCAAAAGAAGAACAAGGAAGAAUGGGGGGAAGGCGUGUAAACUUAGGAGUAUGCACAACAUGUCAACAUGUACAAGAAAUGGAAAUAAAAUUAAUCACGUUGUUUUAAAAAAUGAAAUAAUAAGUAGAAAUUAAUCAACUUUUUAAUAUAUUACAGUUGUUUACUAUGGUUUGUUCUGUUAAGUAAGAUCAAAACAGAAGUAUGCUGCAGAAGCUUUUCUACUGGAUCCAAUAUCAACUUGUAUCAAAUUCUGUCCAAACUGAAUCAGAUUGUAUCUAACCAUUCCAGUUUCAGUCAGAAUAACAUGUUAUGUUCAAGUCCAAACCUGAAUGUGCACAUCCUUUGUAUGAGGUAUAUUUUUUUUGCUGUUUUAAUCAGUACAGACCACGACUAAGUCGUGCUAUUGUGCUUCAGUCGCGUCAUUGGUGGGCAGCUUGAGGGAUUCUUCUAAUAUCCGCUAUUUUAAUUUUCAGCCUUGUUGUAACAGCUAUGUCAACAUUUUUACUUAAUAGUGAUAGUCAAUACCUUUGUAACAUCCUUAAUGAUAGUCAUUGAGUCAUUGUGAUACAUUUCUAUUUUGAUGUGUUUGAACUGUGUCUCUCGUGGGAGGUUACUAUUCUAUAUUACUGAUAUUUUCAAAAUCAUAGAUUAAGAUAUAAGAAGCUUUCAAAGUCAUGGAUUAGAAAUUUCUGGUGUAAAUGGAAGUCUGUGGUAGGGAAAAAGAUGAAUUAAUUGUUUUGAUCUCUCACCAACCUGCUUCUUAUGACAGGAUACCAUACUACCUCUGUGACUCUGUCUGCAGCAGCAAUGGCUCUCCCUCCUUUGUCUAUUAGAGUAGAUUUGGUUGUUCAGAUUCCAGUGGUUUGAACUUUGAAGGGUGUUUAGGUUUUGAGAGUCUUGAAUUAGUACAGUUGGAACUGGAAUUGUUAGAUACAUGGAUUCUUUUAGAUUUACAUGUUUGCCGAGUGGUACAAGCCAGGGUGGGGAGUCGGGGACGGUGUUUACAUUGUACCAACUCCAAUUACUGAUAGUAAUAGGGAGAUGCGGGUGAGCGAACUAAUCGACUUCAGCCCUCCGGAUCGUCAACUCAUCCUGCAGGUACCGCUCUCAUGUUCUUGUCCCUUGUGACAGUAGAUACUGGUUGCUGACUUCUGAUGGACUGUUUAUAGUACGUUCGGGGUACUGGCUUGGGAGAAUGGGAACUGUUCAACAGGGCUGGUGAGUCCGAGUUGUGGGAGGUUGUUUGGGACUUGGGUGGACCUCCAAAACUGAGUCAUUUCUUGUGGAGAGCUUGCAAGGGGAGCUUGGGUGCAAUGGAUGUUUUAUAUAGGAGACGGGCAAUUCGACCUUCUUCGAAUUGUGGGGUGUGUGGCCAUUCGGAGAAAACGAUCCUGCACGCCGUUUUGCGACCGUAAGUUUGCCUUACUGAUUUGGUCUCACAGCGAGUUUGGGGUAUUGAUUGAGGAUGCUCUGAGCUCGACAUUCACAGAUAGAUUGGGGUGGAUUGCUGGGAAAUUAGACAAGCAAAACUGUGUCUUUUGGUGUGGUUAUUCGAGAUACAUACGGUAAGGUACUGGUUGCAGCGGUAAAGAAAAUAGAAGCCCAAUGGUCAGCUGAAAUGGCGGAGGCUGAGGCUGAGGCUGAGGCUGCGAGGUACGUGGUGGAGCUGGGUAUGAAAAUGUGAUUUUAGAAGGUGACUCGACGAAUUAGUGAAAGCUUUAAUUUAUUCCUAUGUAAGCGCGUGAGACGUGCGGGUAAUACCGUUGCACACUCCAUUGCUAGAUGGGAUGCAGAUGAUGCGAUGGAGCGUGUAUGUAUGAACUCUUUCCCUCAAAGUUUUCAAACUUUGGUAGGACUUGAUUUAAUAUAAUCUUGACCGGACAGGCGGACAGUGUUAUAAAGCUUA